rnacentral:rRNA from 1 species
UACGUAGGGUGCAAGCGUUGUCCGGAAUUAUUGGGCGUAAAGGGCUCGUAGGCGGUUUGUUGCGUCGGCUGUGAAAUCCCGAGGCUCAACCUCGGGUCUGCAGUCGAUACGAGCAAACUAGAGUGUUGCAGGGGAGACUGGAAUUCCUGGUGUAGCGGUGAAAUGCGCAGAUAUCAGGAGGAACACCGGUGGCGAAGGCGGGUCUCUGGGCAACAACUGACGCUGGAGGAGCGAAA